rnacentral:lncRNA from 1 species
GCGGGAUCGAAUUGAACUCUCUUGGCCUGAAUUUGAUGGAGCCUAGACUGAUUUCUUGCGGUGUGUGAACCUAAAUUAAAUGUUGCACAACCACACCCUUUUAUAGUCCAAAGAAGUGGCGAGUCUCAUAUGUAUAUGCUUCCUGCGUGCCCUACAUGGCAUUUGGGCCAACUGCCUCCGUCCCAUCUUGGCCUUGUAAUCAUGUAGCAUACGCUGGUAUAAUCAUACCAGUUGAGGUGACUAAUCGAGGGUCUGCCCAGAGUAUGAACGGUGUAUUAAUGGUGCUAAGUACGGUUCCUCAUACCCUUUAUUACACGAUAGUACUAUCUUAC